GAGUCAAGGACAGAGAGACUGGAGUCUUCUUCUUCCACCAUGGAACCUUGGAUAAGUGAGUCCAUGUGAGUUUUCUAAUCACUCAGUAAGUGAUACUUCUAAAAAAGGAAAGAGUCAUUCAAAUAAUUGUGACAUUCUGACUCAGAUUAGAAUCUCAGAACCAUGACAGCUGAGAACAUCCCCAGGCACUGCUUCUCUCUCUAAUAAUACUUCCUCUGAUGUAAUUAACGGUUGGUAGACAAUAUCAGACAAAUUUGCCACAAUUAAAUUACUGAUAUUUUGAGUUUUGGCUACUUGUAAAUUUU
rnacentral:lncRNA from 1 species